GAUGAACGCUGGCGGCGUGCCUAAUACAUGCAAGUCGAGCGAACAGACGAGGAGCUUGCUCCUCUGACGUUAGCGGCGGACGGGUGAGUAACACGUGGAUAACCUACCUAUAAGACUGGGAUAACUUCGGGAAACCGGAGCUAAUACCGGAUAAUAUAUUGCACCGCAUGGUUCAAUAGUGAAAGACGGUUUUGCUGUCACUUAUAGAUGGAUCCGAGCCGCAUUAGCUAGUUGGUAAGGUAAAGGCUUACCAAGGCGACGAUGCGUAGCCGACCUGAUAGGGUGAUCGGCCACCCGGGAACUUAGACACGGUCCAGACUCCUACGGGAGGCAGCAGUAUGGAAUCUGCCGCAAUGGUCGAAAGCCUGGCGGAGCAACGCCGCGUGAGUGAUGAAGGUCUUCGGAUCGUAAAACUCUGUUAUUAGGGAAGAACAAAUGUGUAAGGAACUAUGCACGUCUUGACGGUACCUAAUCAGAAAGCCACGGCUAACUACGUG
rnacentral:rRNA from 1 species